rnacentral:rRNA from 1 species
UGGGGAAUUUUACACAAUGGGGGAAACCCUGAUGUAGCGACACCGCGUGAACGAAGAAGCCUCUUGGGGUGUAAAGUUCUGUCGGCAGGGACGAAAAAAAUGACGGUACCUGCAAAGGAAGCAUCGGCUAACUACGUGCCAGCAGCCGCGGUAAGACGUAGGAUGCAAGCGUUGUCCGGAUUUAUUGGGCGUAAAGAGUUCGUAGGCGGUUCGUUAAGUCUGAUGUUAAAGAUCGGGGCUCAACCUCGGGACUGCAUUGGAUACUGGCGGACUGGAGUGCAGUAGAGGCAAGCGGAAUUCCCAGUGUAGCGGUGAAAUGCGUAGAUAUUGGGAAGAACACCGGUGGCGUAAGCGGCUUGCUGGGCUGUAACUGACGCUGAGGAACGAAAGCUAGGGUAGCGAAUGGGAUUAGAUACCCCCGUAGUCC